AUUGAACGCUGGCGGCAUGCUUUACACAUGCAAGUCGGACGGCAGCACAGAGAAGCUUGCUUCUUGGGUGGCGAGUGGCGAACGGGUGAGUAACAUAUCGGAACGUACCGAGUAAUGGGGGAUAACUAAUCGAAAGAUUAGCUAAUACCGCAUAUUCUCUGAGGAGGAAAGCAGGGGACCCUCGGGCCUUGCGUUAUUUGAGCGGCCGAUAUCUGAUUAGCUAGUUGGUGGGGUAAAGGCCUACCAAGGCGACGAUCAGUAGCGGGUCUGAGAGGAUGAUCCGCCACACUGGGACUGAGACACGGCCCAGACUCCUACGGGAGGCAGCAGUGGGGAAUUUUGGACAAUGGGCGCAAGCCUGAUCCAGCCAUGCCGCGUGUCUGAAGAAGGCCUUCGGGUUGUAAAGGACUUUUGUCGGGGAAGAAAAGGACAGGGUUAAUACCCCUGUCUGAUGACGGUACCU
rnacentral:rRNA from 1 species